rnacentral:rRNA from 1 species
UUUGGUCAAGCUACAAAGAGCGAAUGGUGGAUGCCUUGGGGCAAAGAGCCGAUGAAGGGCGGGGCUAGCGCCGAAACGCUCCGGGGAGCAGCCAGCAUGCUUUGAUCCGGAGAUUCCCGAAUGAGGCAACUCGGCUGGAGUUACGUCCAGUCAGCCGGCGGUGAAUCCAUAGCCGCCGGCGGGGAACCGGGUGAACUGAAACAUCUUAGUAGCCCGAGGAAAAGAAAGCGAAGCGAUUCCGUAAGUAGCGGCGAGCGAAAGCGGAACAGCCUAAACCUUGCGAGCUUAGUGGAAUACGGUCCUAUGCUUGUAUGGUGUAGUGGGAAGUAUCAGGCAGAACCGUAAGUUAUGCCGGGAAGUGACAAAACCAAUCUUUAGCCGAAGUCCUCUGGAAAGUGGAGCCACAGGAGGUGAGAGCCCUGUAGGCGAAAGGGAUUGGUCUUCCGAUACUCUCCCGAGUAGCGCGGGACACGAGUAAUCUUGCGUGAAUCUGGGCGGACCACCGUCUAAGGCUAAAUACUCUUUGCCACCGAUAGCGUAUAGUAACGUGAGUGAAAGGUGAAAAGUACCCCGGGAGGGGAGUGAAAUAGAACCUGAAACCGUAUGCCCACGAACAGUCAUAGCACCAUGGAUAGAGGUUAGAUGUAAGGGGUUAGAGGUAAGAGAGACUCGGCUUGAGCCGGGUUGUUAUCUGCUAGCUCUUACUUCUUACUUCUUACCUCUAACCUCUAUCCGGUGUGGUGGCGUGCCUUUUGCAUAAUGAUCCGGCGAGUUGCUUAUGUGUUGCAAGGUUAAGCGUCAUUAGACGUGGAGCCGCAGCGAAAGCGAGUCCGAAAUGGGCGUUUUAGUAGCACAUAGCAGACCCGAAACCGAGUGAUCUACCCAUGGUCAGGUUGAAGUCAGCCUAACCGCUGAUGGAGGACCGAACCAGUGUCGGUUGAAAACGGCUUGGAUGAACUGUGGGUAGCAGGUGAAAUGCCAAUCGAACUCGGAAAUAGCUGGUUCUCUCCGAAAUGCAUUUAGGUGCAGCGUCACGUGUUUUCUUACGCAGGUAGAGCACUGAAUGGCCUAGGGGCCCUACCAGGUUACCGAAGUCAAUCAAACUCCGAAUGGCGUAAGAUGAAGCGUGGCAGUGAGACUGCGGGAGAUAAGUUUCGUAGUCAAAAGGGGAACAGCCCAGACCACCGGCUAAGGUCCCUGAGUGCUGGCUAAGUGUAAAAGGAUGUGAGAUUGCAUAGACAGCCAGGAUGUUGGCUUAGAAGCAGCCAUCGUCUAAGAAGUGCGUAACAGCUUACUGGUCGAAUGUGAUCUUGCGCCGAUAAUGUAAGGGGGCUCAAGCCAGCCACCGAAGCCGUGGGAUUCGAGGUCCGAAGUCUGAAGUCAGAAGUCCGAACGAGUAUGUCCAGCGUUAGCGAUGGGCGUUUCGGACCUCCGACCUCGGAUUUCGGACUUCGAAUCGGUAGGAGAGCGUUCCUUGCGGGUGGAAGCCGUAGCGUAAGCAGCGGUGGACUGCAGGGAAGUGAGGAUGCCGGAAUGAGUAGCGAAAAGGGAAGUGAGAAUCUUCCCCGCCGAAAGCCUAAGGGUUCUUAAGGAAGGAUCGUCCUCUUGAGUUUAGUCGGGCCUAAGCCGAGGCCGAAAGGCGUAGGCGAUGGACAGCAGGUUAUUAUUCCUGCGCCAGGAGCUGGCGUUUGAGCAAUGGGGGGACGCUGGAUGACGGAUCAAGCACGGCGUUGGUUGACCGUGUUUCUGCUUAGAGGUGGCCGAUAGGUAAAUCCGUCGGCGUAAUCCUUGGAGCAGAAGGAGUUGAGGAGAAAUCCAAGGCGAACUGGUCCCGAUUUCAGCCAAGAAAAGCCUCUAGCGAGCUAAGCUCCUGACCGUACCGCAAACCGACACAGGUAGGCAGGUAGAGAAUACCAAGGCGCGCGAGAUAACCCUCGUUAAGGAACUAGGCAAGUUGACCCCGUAACUUCGGGAGAAGGGGUGCCCUGGUGGGACGCUGCUGUAACGCAGUGGGUUCACUGGGGUCGCAGUGACAAGGCCCGAGCGACUGUUUACCAAAAACACAGGUCUCUGCUAAGCCGAAAGGCGAAGUAUAGGGGCUGACGCCUGCCCAAUGCCAGAAGGUUAAUAGGAGGGGUCAUCCCGAGCUUGCUCGGGAGAAGCCCUGAAUUGAAGCCCUGGUGAAUGGCGGCCGUAACUAUAACGGUCCUAAGGUAGCGAAAUUCCUUGUCGGGUAAGUUCCGACCUGCACGAAUGGCGUAACGACUUGGGCGCUGUCUCAACGAGGGACUCGGCGAAAUUGUAGCAUGCGUGAAGAUGCGCAUUACCCGCGACAGGACGGAAAGACCCCGUGGAGCUUUACUACACCUUGAUAUUGACUUCUGGGUUAGUAUGUAGAGGAUAGGUGGGAGGCGCAAGCCAACGGUGGAAUACCACCCUUAUUAGCUUGGAAGUCUAACUUUGGCGUGUGAAUCCACGCCGAGAACAGUAUCAGGCGGGUAGUUUGACUGGGGCGGUCGCCUCCUAAAAGGUAACGGAGGCGUCCAAAGGUUCCCUCAGGCUGGUUGGCAAUCAGCCUCCUAGAGUAUAAGGGCAUAAGGGAGCCUGACAGAGAGAG